CUCUUGAAAAUUAGAAAUGUUGGCGGUAUUUUAGUCUAAUGAGAGGAACCUGUCCUGUAAUUGAUGAUCCACAAUUUAAUUUAUUUAUUUUUUAAGUUUGUAUAUCGUUGUAGGUUGAAUAUUUUUAAAGAAUGUAAAUAUUCAAGAUUUUUAAUGAUAAAAAAUCAAAUCAAGGUAUAGCUAAUAAAUAAGAAGAGAUGGGUUACAAUAAAUUUAUUUAAAUGGAUAAAAUUUUGUAAAAAUUUUUGAAAGUGGAUUUGAAGGUAAUUUUAUUUAAAUUUUUAAAAUGAUUUUAGCUCUAAAAUAUGUACAUAUCGCCCGUCGCUUUCAUUUUAAAAUGAAAUAAGUCGUAACAUAGUAGAUGUACUGGAAAGUGUAUCUAGGAUACAAAUUAAAGCUUUGAUGAAGUUUUUUAGUUACAUUAAAAAGAGUAUUUUAAAAUAUAAUUUGAAAAAUUAGUAUUAUAUAUAUAUAUAUAUAUAUAUAUAUAUAAUUUGUUUAAAAAAAUAUUUAAUUUUUAAUUAGUAUGAAAAAAUAAUUUUUAUGAUAGGGAAAUAGUAUUGUAAAAGAAUAAAAAUUUUUAUAAAAAAAAAAUAUAUUCUUUGUACCCGGGGUGUCAGGGUUUAUCAAUAAAAUUUUAAUAAAUUUAAAUUUCYCRAAUUUUAAAAGAGUUAUAAGUUUAUAAUUUUUAUUGUGGCAUAAAUAUUAUAAAUAAACUUAUAGAGGUGAAAUGUUAUACGAUUUUAAAUAUAUCUAGUUUUUAAAGAAAAUAAUUUAAUUAUAUUUUUAUAUAAUAUUUAUAUAUAUAUAUAUAUAUAAAUAUUAUUAAAAUUAAAUAUUUUAAGGGAUGAGCUUUAAAAUAAAUUUAUAUAAUAAGUUAAAUGGUUAUUUAAAUAAAUAAGAUUAUAAGUUUUUAUUUUUAUUGUGUGUUAUUACUAAUUUAAAUUUUAAAUAAGAUUUUUAUUUUAUUUAUUUUUUUUAUUUAAAAAUAAAUAUGAAUAUUGAAUAUUUAAGUAUAAUGAUAAAAUUAGUAUAAGAAUUUAUUUUGAUAAUAUAAAUUAGUAAGGUUAAUUAAAGGAACUCGGCAAAUUUGUUUUUCACCUGUUUAUUAAAAACAUGGCUUUUUGAUAAUAAUUUAAGGUCUAACCUGCCCAAUGAGUAGUUAAAUGGCCGCAGUAUCUUGACUGUGCAAAGGUAGCAUAAUCAUUUGUUUCUUAAUUAGAAGCUUGUAUGAAAGGUUGAAUGAGAAAAUAACUGUCUCUAUUUAAAUUUAUUAGAAUUUUAUUUUUAAGUAAAAAAGCUUAAAUAUUGAUAGAAGACGAGAAGACCCUAUAGAGUUUUACAUUUAAAGUAAAGAUAAAUUUUUAGAAUUUAU
rnacentral:rRNA from 1 species